ACUUAUGUGUAAUAAAGACUUGUUUAACUGCAUUUGAAGAUUAGUAAUAGUGGGAGGAAUUCCAAUAAAACUAUUUAACUCUCACAAUUUUCUUUCACACUUCCCUUCCAUUUGCCAAUUUGGUGUGAAAUGGCCUUGAUUUUUUGUCUUAGCUAUUUAAAAAAAAUCAAAAUUAUUCAUACAAGUUUUAGUGAGUUUUAGCAUUGUAUUGAAGUUUGAUUUAAAGGCUGACAUGAUUUCUGCAUAUUUCACAAUUGAUUAAGCCACCAACCAGAGAUCCAUGGAAGGGUCAGGUUUCUAAGAUUCCUUUUUGAUGUGUCUAGGCUUUUAGAUGAGGGAUAUCAUGUUCAGAUUAAAAAUGUCAUGGCAUUACUUUUAUUUUGUCAUGUUGUAUAUUGCUUUUCUCAUUAGUGUUGUCACUGGUGUUGUUUACCUUUGUUGAAUAACCAAUGACAGAGACGUGCUGCUAAAAUGUAAUACUGAGUUUAGUUAUCGUGGUUUUGUGAUGAUAAACAGGAUCAAUAAUAACCAACCAAGUUAUCCUCAUAUUAAGCUGAAUUAUAAUUGUUAAAUAUUUUUUAAUUGGUUUUGCAAAUCUAGCAAUCUUCUAAAAUAACCUCAGUUGGACAAUCUUCUAUUCACAUCAGGAGUAUGUUGUGACACCUGAUUCCAAAAAGUAUUGAGUAAUUUACUUAAAUAUGCUGACAACAAAUCUGCACCAAUUGAUGAAAACAUUUGGUGCAGAUGAAAGCCCAGGAAAUGAAAGGAGCAUAUUUGGGUAACUAUAACACAUUCCACAAUCAGACCUGAAAUUGAGAUUGGCACCUACAAAAAUAUCGCCAUCUCCUUCAUCCACCACACCAGUAUGUUUGAAAAAAUUCUAUCGUCAACCACUAGCUCUCAAGAAACAUACCUCUAAGUCCACUUCCUUUCUGCCUGUAACACACAGUGUGUCUGUGACUCAGUCCUCGUGCUGUGCUUCUUGCUUGAGCGUGAUGGAAAACCAUGUGAGGAGCUCUGUUCCCCACUGCACGCUGGACACCACUGUCCUGCUGGAUUCUGCUGACAUUAAACAAAAUCUUUAGGGUUCAGGAAGGUUGGGCAGACACAUCAGAGGCAAAUGUGUAACACCGUGGAGCGUUUCUGCUUGGCCCGUUGGGUUUGACAUGCCAAAAUAGCCCACAAGGAAUAGCAGUGCCUUUUGAAGUAGCUGAGAUGCUUCCCUGAUGUCACUGCUCUGAGUUUUAGAUCAAUGCCUGGGAGAUGAAUCAGAACAUGUGAGGAGAGUCACCGAGGGGAAAUGUGCUGGAAAGGUUGCAGGAGUGAAGCACCCAAGCCCGGAGAGAAGGUGGGGUGAGAUGUGCAAGCAGGAAAAAACAAAGGGCUGAGUCAUUGGAGGCCUAAUUGACAAUGGCACAGCUGUGACAACAAUUUGCCGGCGGCCUGACCUAUUUGAUGAAAGGGUCUCUGCUUUCCUUGGAACCUCAGAGUUGCAGUGCAUGGUAGGAAUGCACCACUCGUGUUUCCAGCUGGCUCAGCCUCAUAAAUACCUAAACUCACAAGAUGACAUUUUUAAUGCUCUACAAUUGCUGUUCUGCGUUUAUAUUUAUUGCAAUUCAACAUAUCCAUUAGUGCAUCUAUCAUUGAUAAGUUUGUCACUGCUUCAGGAAAACAGUCCAUCAUGCUGCAUCAAUUUUACUUUACAUGCUAUUAAUGUACUAUAAUGCAGCUUAUAAUAUCAUGUGGAUAUAUUUGAUUAGAGAGGUGCCAGAGUCAGUCAGAUUGCCCUGAGAAUUGCAAGAGGACCCAAACCCUUUAUUUGUUUGUGGUAAAGAUGAACAGCCUUGGUGCACAGUGAAUGUGUUAAUAUAACAGGUGUAUCUUCUUCACUUUCUCAAACAGGCACGGCAAGGAACCAACUUAAGCAAUCUAUUUUGACUCACAACAGACUUAUAAUAUUUUGUUGACACUUGACAUGUUUAUUCUUUUAGCAAAAUCAUAAUCAUGUUUUAAUAUUUCCUGCAUGCAAUUAGCAGCUUUAGUCAAGAGGCAACGAUGGCAUAUGAGUCCAGGAGAGAGGACCAACUAUGGCUUUCCAAAACGGGAUUUCUCCCAUAACAAAAGCUGACUAUGCCUAGCAGAUAUACUAGAAUAAUACGGGGUAUAUCAUUGAAUCCAACGAUGAGUUGAAUCAUGAUGCUGGAAAAGAAGGAAGCAGGAAAGCUCAGAAGCAGAAGUUUGACUGAAAGUCCUGGAAGAGAGAAUCCAGUUGGCAAGACUUAAGUGGAGAGCUGCAGUAUGGUGGUGAGAGCAAAGUUUUGACAGAAGGAGCCAAAACUCCUUCUACCUCUUAGAGGAUCUUUACAUCAGAACUUCAUGUGUUCAUCAAUUGCAACCAUGGGUUGAUUGACUGUAGGUAUGAGAGUUUGGUGAAGAUCAACAAAUGCAUCGUUUGCUCCUGUCUCAGAAGGCUAUGUCUUAACCAAUGAGAAAGGAUAAAUUCGCCCCUGUGGUUGAUAUUUAUGAGAAUGCAAGGUGACAGAAUCUCAAAGACUUCCUGGAGCUGCAGAGGGUGUUGCCAAUCAUCGUGGAAAUUUAAAGUAAAUGCUUUUUCUACAGAUGUUAAUGUCAUUGUUUAUUGACUGUUUACUCAGCUCAGAUGUAAUUGGGGUCAUUAGGGAUCCGGUCAAUACCUGACCUUUUCCAAUAAAGGGUGCACGCUGUGUUACUGGGCCUCACACCAGCCAGCCCUUACGUGGCGCGCAGCUGUUCCCACAGCGCAAAGCAGAAGCAGAGGCGCCAUCCAUCGCUGAAACUUUUUUGGGAAAAAAAAAAUCUUCUGCUGUAGACAUGGUGUUUCAAAAAUCAGACAAAAUAUAUUUCAUGGAAAAUCUAUUUUGAGAUCGACAUUCAUUUGAAAAGCUAAAACUAGCAUCCGGAUAAAAAAAGGAAGGGAUGAAACAUCAAACUGAAAAUAUCUUUCUAUAUUGUGACAUUUUCGCAAAUGUAAAUGAGACCACCUUUAAGGCUGUCACAAGCAAAGAAAUUCAACUGGGGUCUUGAUGACUGAAGGGAUGUUAAAGAAUCUCUCAUCAACGGACCACAAAGAAUAAAGCGAAAACUAUCCGUAAUGUGCAGAUGUUAUCAGGAUGUGACUUCAGCACAACCCCACAUCCUGAUAAGGAGACAAAACUGCAGAUGUUUAAUAUAUUACAGGAACUAACCACAAAUUCUGUUUUGCUUCUCCAACUUUAUAAUGUUUAAUUUUUUUACGACGUGAAUUGCACUCUGGAAGAACUUCCUCUCAACUUAAUUACUUCGGAGCCAACCUUGCCCUUCAGGGCCUUUAUGCCAAACAAGCCUACAUUGUCUGGAUCAAAAGGACGGAAGAUUACAGAAUAAAAACACAGAAAAAGGAGAAAAAGUCCCAGUGCUCGGCCCAGUGUUGGGCACAUUAACACUGGCCAAUGAUGUGAGUUGAAUUAAAUCAUUGAACAAGAGAAAAGAACCCCAUUCUGGAUAUCAGACAAAGUAAAGGAUUCAAAUACGUGAAGACUUCCACACUCUCUGUCUAAAGGACCAUCUCUACUUGAUGAAGUAAAUGGGUGAAAAAGAAACUUCUUUUCACUCCAUCUGACUCUGUAUGGACUUACUAUGUGUUGGGAAGUAUCUACUUACAAAUGCGAAGUAUUUUUAGAAAAGCCUUAUAAAUCAUCAAAUUCUCGAAAAUCACCACUUACCAGGGAAGAUGACAUAACAGUUGCAUUCGAUUCCGAUCCUUCGGUAGGGGGGUGAGCAAGUUAUUAUUCAACACUAGGUCUUAAUGAAAAUUCGACACUACGUUACACUUAACGGUGUUUGAAGCCGAUGUGGAAAUGUUAGAAGUUUUCUUUUGGUAAAACAUAUGCAUUGGCCUGGUGAGUGGAAAUGAGGGGCUGCUUAAAAGAUUUUUUUACCCAAAGCUUUUUGGACACAUUGCUGUAACCCUGGGAGGCUUGGUCUGAGCCCUGAACAGCAGUUGCCCAGAUGCAGAAAAAAGGCUUCAAAACCUCUCCUUUGACAAAGAGACAUGAAAUAAUAUCUGACAAAGGCAUCGCAAGCAAACAUGAUGGCAAAUCAGCAAUUAUACAGGCGACAAAGGAGAGCACAUCUCACUUCCAAAUGUCUUUUUUCUUCUUCUUCACAUUUUACUAAUAACAUCUCAUAGAGGUGCUUAGGUCAGUAUUUUUAAAAACAAUUUAAUAUAUGACUGUGCUUUGGGUUUGGUUUAACUCCUUUAUUACACUAAUGCUAUUUGUCAUUUCAUGCAUGUGUCAGCAUUGUUUUUGAAUGGCAAAAAAAGGUUGGGAAUAAACCAAGCACAAAGAAAGACACUUGCAGCUCACUCUAGGUAACUUUGUUUUAGAAAGGAAUAAAUACUCCACCAAGAUAGUCUAAACAGCACUUGCUGUCUCUUAAAUGGAGUCCUUUGUGGAAGGAAGAGGACCUACAAUGAAUCAAAUAAUAUUGGUGAAGAAAAAAUGGCAGCAAAAUUGACCAGAUCCAAACUGCAUAGCUUCAAUCUUUGAUCUCCAACUCUCUUGCUCUUGAAUUUGGAAAAUAGGUAAGAGAAAGGCUUUUAAAAAGGAGUUAUAAAGUUAAAUUUAAAUAUGAAAAUAUUUACCUUUUUUAUCAAAUAACAUACCAUGAAAAAUUUACAUUUGCAAAAUUAAUUUUGAGCCCAUCGUAUAAUAAAUCAUCAUUAAAACCCUAUGUGCCCAACGAAUUCAAGCCCAGGCUUCAACCGGGAUGGAUAUGAAGGAAAACAAUAAUGAUAAUAAAAGUAAUAAUGAUAACAAUAAUAAUAAAUGAGAUGGAACAUGUACUUCACAAAUAACUGCAAUACACAGUUCCUCAAAAUCUCUGCGUUUUUAUUGCAUAAUGAUCAAUCUGCUACUGAUCAAAGGUAUGCUGUACCUCAAAUAAGCAAAAUGCUCAUGGUGUGAAAUUAAUGACAUGAACUGUAAAUGAAAACAAAGCUACUUAGGCCUUUAAAAUUAUUUUCUUUCUUGUGGAUUCAUUGCAGAAAAAUAAUGAAUUGCAGCCUCUUCUUUCCUGACAUAUUUGGGAUAGUUCACAUGACUUUGAAAUGGCUUAAAUAUUUUACCACCCACUAUAGAAUGUUCUGAAGAGGGGAAGGAAAACGUGUAUUUGUUUUGCCGGUGGUCAUUUCUUACUGUCUCAUUUAGUAUGUAGGAGUACAAAAGGUAUACUGUUAAAAGGAAAUGAAGAGCAAACUUAGUCAAAUGUAUUUGAAUGCAAGAAUAUAAGGGAUAUAUUAGAAGAUGCUUGAUGACUAGAAAUCAAUCCAUUUACCACAUGGUCUGUUAGUAUAAAGAUUCUGCAAGAUCUCAGAGAAUCUCGUGUGCUAAUCAAGUUAAUUAGCUGUAGAUAAGGAUACUCUUAAAAUUAGGUCUGUAAACACCAGACUUUUAUUUUAUUUUUUUAUUAUUUAUUUAUUUUUAAAAUUUUUAUUACAUUGAUUUAUUUUUGAGAGACAGAGAGAGACAGCACAA